GCGGCUGGAGCGCGUGGGUCUCGCGGGAGCGCGGGGCGGUAUUUAAUGGCCGGCGAGGCGCCGCUCUGCCUUUCUGUUCGCCGGCCGAGGGCGCGUGUGUCCGAGGUGCCGCCGAUGGGCGGGAGGCCGAGCGCGGCAGGCCGGGGCAGGCGGGAGCGCUGGCGAUCCAUGGGUGAGGGGCACACCGACAUCAUCACCCCUCCUACAGCCUGGGGCUGAGGCCUCACAUAGCAACCUCAUGCUUGCAAUGUUUUAGACAUGGAUAAUCACACCUAAAUGUGAAGCAGUACUUGGGACUUCUUAGGACUAAAUAAUGCCUUCUAAUGGAAGGAAUGAAGACAAUGUGUGUCAGGAACUGACAUUAAACAUCAGUUUUAUGAUUUCCUGAGUGGGUGAUUUCUGACUUCAUACAAGAUGAUUCCAGUUGUCAUCUCGAAGUAUUGUCUUGGAAGUAGAAUUGAGACAAGCAAUGGCUUAAAUUAUGUGUUCAAUGAUGAUGUUGAAACAGGCAUCUCACCAUUUGUUGAAACAGGUUUCCUAGCAAAAACUGCUGUAAUUUGACUAUUUGUGGAUUAAUUGAAAUAAAUUAUGAGUAUUAAUUAAAAGUAUGCUCCUAAAUUUUGUGUUCUGAAGGUUUCUUGUUAAGGUACUUUCUGUAUGAAGACUUUGUUUCGUGGAUGUAAACACUUUUGUUGUCACACAGAAACAUUCUCUUGCCAUGUUCAGACUUGACAAGCUAGUCUUAAAUUUACAAUUCCAUUGAAAAAACACUGAAUAUUUUUAAGUAUUUUGUAAUGCAAAAGCACUGAGAUCAAUCAGCUAAUUGUUAUUUCAGUACACUGUAUGUGUUCUCUACAAAAGCAUUGUCUCAAACUGUAAAGAACAAGUUACCAAGAAUCUCAUUCCUUGCCUAUUUUAAAUUAAGAAGGUAAAGGUUGCAAUAUUCCAUGUAAAGCACUAUAAGUGAGGAGGUCCUUGAAAAGCUAGAUUAUUGUUGAGCAAUUAAAAGGUUAUAUAUGCUUUUCAGUAGCUUAUGUCUUAAUAUUGGAAAUGUUUUUCUUAAUGGUGGGUCUUAAUUUUGUGCAUCCUAUUACUGCCAGUGCUUCUAUAGAAUGUACAAGCAAGGAUAUGAAAUAGUCAGAAAUGGCUGUCAGGUGCUCACCACUGCCUACUUAGGAGAGUGAGUUGGUGUGGAUUUAGGAACAAAAUAUGUGUGUAUUUGCCCAUAGAUGGUCAUAUUUAAUUGCCAUCUAGACAGGAACUUUUUUUUUACCUUUGCUUAAAUAUACACUAAAAGGGAUUAGUAAUAGCCUACUUAAGGCCUUUUAGGCUCACCGAAGUCUGCUUGUUUUAAGAAGAGGCAAAAUUAAAUUUGAAGGAUAUACAGAAGUACUUCAUGAUAUUAAACUUGACAAGUGUCAAUUUCCUCUUGUAAGAAACUAUAAUUUCUUAAAGUCUUGACAGUUCUAUAGACAUUUGUCUUCUGUAGCCAUGCUUAAGGAUUAGUUUUUAGUCUGUUCAGUUGUGUUAUGGGGUUGUUCUAUGUCUGCCCUGUGCAGUUUUCUGAUUUGCCUCUCAGCUUCAAUGUUAAUUGGUGAUGUCUAGUAAAGACUGAUUCCUGAAUAUUUAUUCCUGUUUUCCUUAACCUGUAAACUUGUUUCCCUUGAUAAUAUGGCAUGAUCUUUGUAGUGAGCUGUCUAUACUUGCAGAAUUUCUGAAGGGAGUCAGGAGUUAUCUUAGAAUUAGGGUUGGCAUUUUUCUUUCCAGAUUAAUUUUUCAUGCAAUAAAUGGCAUUAAAUUCCA